AUUGAACGCUGGCGGCAGGCCUAACACAUGCAAGUCGAGCGGAUGACGGGAGCUUGCUCCUUGAUUCAGCGGCGGACGGGUGAGUAAUGCCUAGGAAUCUGCCUGGUAGUGGGGGACAACGUUUCGAAAGGAACGCUAAUACCGCAUACGUCCUACGGGAGAAAGCAGGGGACCUUCGGGCCUUGCGCUAUCAGAUGAGCCUAGGUCGGAUUAGCUAGUUGGUGGGGUAAUGGCUCACCAAGGCGACGAUCCGUAACUGGUCUGAGAGGAUGAUCAGUCACACUGGAACUGAGACACGGUCCAGACUCCUACGGGAGGCAGCAGUGGGGAAUAUUGGACAAUGGGCGAAAGCCUGAUCCAGCCAUGCCGCGUGUGUGAAGAAGGUCUUCGGAUUGUAAAGCACUUUAAGUUGGGAGGAAGGGCAUUAACCUAAUAUGUUAGUGUUUUGACGUUACCAACAGAAUAAGCACCGGCUAACUUCGUGCCAGCAGCCGCGGUAACAC
rnacentral:rRNA from 1 species